GGCGUAUUUUGCACAGGCGGAGCUCGACCGCCGAGCGAAGUGAUGGUGUCGUUCAUCGACGAUCACCGAGAGGCGUAUGGGGUCGAGCCGAUCUGCGCGGUGCUGCCGAUCGCCCCG
rfam:Candidatus Eisenbacteria bacterium RBG_16_71_46 RBG_16_scaffold_1471, whole genome shotgun sequence.